GCUCUGCCCAGUCUUUAAUUGUUGCUCUUUUGUCAUUUAGCUCCCCCCCCCCCCCCCUUAAGUGAAAGACAACAAGGCCAGAGCUUGUCUUCUCCUAACCCUCUGUUCUCUGUGUGCAUCUACGUGGGCAUGGCAACCAGGCAGAGCAGCAAUAAAGUGGAGGACAGCACGCAGACAGCAGGGAGAGCACGCAGAGAAAGAGGACAGCUCAUCCUCUUGUACCUGCGGUGCCAAAAUGCAAGAUGCCGGGCAGAGAGUGGCGACAGCUUGGGGAGGAAUCUUCAGUGCAUAGAAGCAAGUGGGGAAAUAAGAGAAAAGAGAUUUAAGAAGACCACAAAGUCAUCCUCACUGCGUGAUGAUGUGGCGAAUUGAAUAAUAAAACGCAUUAGACUCAGUGUGUGAGGUCUAUGCACAACGACUUUGAUCGGAUGACAUGACAACGGCUGAAAAACAAAUUGGACUUUAGUGGCAUCUAAGCAGUAAAGCUGAAGAUUGCAAACAACUAAAUACUGCUUGCCUUCCAAGCAUGUGUUUGGUUUGUUCAUUCUGGGUUAACAGGAAAAAAAUAUUUAACACCAAAACUGUGUAAAAAAAACCUGUAUUGCUACUUUCC
rnacentral:lncRNA from 15 species